CCCAAUUCAUCUUCAUCAUCUAGCCUGGUGGAACCACAUAUCAUGAAAUCUGAAGUGAAAUAGAAUGAAUGCAGCGAUCAGGAUGGUUCCAUAAUGCUAGUCCAUAACCACCAUUGAUAAUGAAAUCAGUGGUCUGUGUGUGUGUUUGACAGACCAGUAUCUUUGUGGGGCCGGGAGCAGAUCUAUGCUGCCAUGCCCAUCAAUGGGGCUCUGGCAAAGACCUUACCUCCAGCCUAGCCUCCUGUCUGCUCACCAAUGGUCGUCGAUUGGGAGACCAUAAUUGGAAACAUGUAUGGAGCCAGCACAUGGAGACUUGCAAGAUGAUGUGAUGAAGUCCAAACUGACAGACAGGCUUGGUAAUGAUUCCUCUAAAUGGAGAGAGACCUGUCACUCGGAAUUAAAAGUUUACUAGCUACAA